GGCUCUUUAGUCAUUUAAUGCUGUCUGUCUGUUCCCGAAGUUUUGUUUCGGACUCUGGCGGGAGGAGCGGAACCGAAACCUCCGCGGAGCAAAUUAAAACCGAGAGGAAAGAGCUGGAAGGGGGAGGCGCCUGGCUCGGGGGGCGCAGACCAGGCCCCAGCUGUGGACAGAAAGCAGCUAACUGAACCAGGAUGGCAACUGCUCAGCUCUCACACACUGGAGUGAAGCAUAAAACCUCCAAGGAAACACUUAUGUUUCCAAACAGAGUUGCUACUGAACAACAAUCAGUAAUUCUGGUGAAAAGGCUGCUGGCGAUUUCAGUGUCCUGUAUAACUUACCUCCGAGGGCUCUUUCCAGAAAACUCUUAUGGAACUCGCUAUUUGGAUGAUAUGUGUCUAAAAAUCCUUCGUGAAGAUAAAAGCUGCCAGGGCUCACUACAGAUAGUCAAAUGGCUUCAGGGAUGCUUUGAUGCACUGGAAAAGAGCUAUCUGCAUAUGGCUGUCUUGGCAAUUUAUACCAAUCCAAAAGAGCCAGAGUGUGUGACAGAGCUGUACCGGUUUAAAUUCAAGUAUUCAGAUAAAGGACCCCGGAUGGACUUUGCUAGCACUCAAGUGAGCUUUACAAAUGGAACAAAUAACGAGGAAAUUAAGAAUGCCAGCACCUUGCUAAUCCGCAAACUGUACGUCUUAAUGCAGAAUCUUGGACCAUUGCCUAAUGAUAUUACAUUGACCAUGAAACUCUUCUACUAUAGUGAAGUCACACCUGAUGAUUAUCAGCCCCCUGGCUUUAAGGAAGGCAGCAGCCCAGAAUGCCUGCUUUUUGAUGGUGACCCUGUGAACCUAAAAGUAGGGUCAGUCUCCACUGGGUUUCAUGUGCUGAAACUGAGAGUAACAACUGAGAGCAAGAGGAUGGGAGUGCUGGAGAGCAGUAUGGUUGAACAGCAUGGCCCCACGGAGAUCUCCCAUCAGGGACUAGACUAUGAUGAAGAAGAGGAGGAGGAGGGCAGUACUAAGGCACAAGAGCAGAAAAAUCUUCAGGCUGUUGGUGUGAAGUUGGAUAAAAACGGGAUGCGUGAAGGAGAUAAAGAUUCAGAAGCAACUAGAAAGACUGGAAUGGAAGAGACAGAAAGAGUAGCAGGCACGAAGACAUCUUGCCAGUGAUUGCAAAAAAUACAAGCUACCUGUAGCCAAGAAUUGGUGGGACCAUAAAAUUGAAAAAGUUGAAGAAAAUGGAGAUGUAAAAAUAUUAUGGGACUUCCGACUACAAACAGACAAACAUCUGCUACACAAUACACCAGAUAUCACUGUAGUCGAGGCUGUGGAUCCAGGAAUAUCUUUUGCCAGUCUGCUGUGAAACCUAGAUGCUUUCAACAGAAUACUGGACCACUGGUCACUCCGGGCAAUGAUCCAGCCUGUUUGGCUCCACCCUUGUCCCAUGUAAAGUGAGAGUGCACCCCCAGAAUGCAACCCUCCCUCCCAUUUGCCUGCACAGUGCUGCAGAAGGAAAGCUAGUCUGUCCCGACUGGUCAUCUUGUGGAGGAGCCCUUGGAACCAACACACAGCAACAAGGACUUAUUCCAUCUCCGCCAUCCGGGUUGCUAGCAGGGAAACAUUACCUUAGUUGUUGUCUUUAAUCUCCAGUGUGCUCUUUGAAUGAAGCUGGGAUGGAAGCGAAAAGGAUGAUGCAGCAGAUGAAAUCUGGAGUUGCUGCAAGACAGCUCAAAUGUUAAGAAAGAGGGAACCCCCCAGAAGCAAUUGUGGCAACGGCUGCAUUCCCUAGCCCAGAGGAGAAGACUCACCUCUCACCUCCCUUUGCUGCAAGCAACAGGAGGAGGUUGGGAAAUCAGCGAUGGAGAUAUUUCAGCAACAGUGAUUGUGAAAUAAUGGCAGAUCCAUUGCAAGAGCCUUGAACACAUGGACGCCACUGUGGGACCACCUCAAGCCUCUACCCCACCCAGAGACACUGAGAAAGGAGGACCAGGAUUCGACGGCAGCAAGAGCAAAGGGGAUUGCGGGUCUGGGGAUUUCACCAGCCCGCUCCCAGGCCUGCUUGGUAAUCUGAGCCCUGGCAAGGGGGCCCGGCGGCAUCUAGGGGCAGGAGCCCAGAUGGGAAGCGAGCCGACCGACCCGUCUGCCAGUGCCAGCAUGGGAACGAACAAAGGGUUACACCGGGAAAGGCCCUUUGAGCUUCUCUUCCAAGGAAACAGGAUGGAGCCAUUCACAAGAACAAUAAGCAGGCCGGACCCCAGGAGGGAGCCUGGGGACAGCAAAGGAGCGCCUUCCAGAACCGAGAAGGACCAAGACCAGGAGACCUCCAGGGAAGAGGCCGUGGAAGCUCCACCACCACAUCCAUUUCCAGGGACGGCCAGAACUGUGCCAGAAUGUGGGUCCCCGAAUGCUGUUGGACUACAACUCCCAUCACCCCCCCACAAUGGCUGGCAGGAGGUGAUGGACAUUGUAGUCCAACACCACCUGGAGACCCACAUUUGAGAAGCCCUGCAGGAGUGAAAGCCCAGAGACUCAGAAAAACCAAACCAAUCUCCAGUACUGUCUCUAUCCAAUAUAGCUAGGUUGGUAAACAAGCAAUUAUCUAUACUUACAUAUUUAUUCAAAUCAAUGCGGAAAAUUAAUCUAAUUUAAACAUCUCAUAGAUGGUCAAUAAUACAGUCGUCCCUUGCCAACCACUGGUUUCUCAAUCGCGGAUCUGAGUAUCCGUGACUGGCAAAUUGUGCGCAACCUGAGUAGCCAUGGUUUUGCAAGAUUUUUUUGAAAAAAUAGGGGUUGGAGGGGGAUUUAGUGGGUCAAGAGGUCAUUUCUGGGGGCGGGUUUUUCCCCUAUUUUUAACUGGUGUUUCCCCCCCCCAAUCUUUUUGUGACAGUGAUUCCCCGAAUCCUCUGUUUCCCAUUAGUUUUAAUGCCUUGUCAACCACAAAUUCGCCAACCAUGAGGUUUUCCAGGAACAGAAGCCUCGCAGUUGGCAAGGGACGACGGUAUUCAGAGACUGUAUAAAACAACAGUUGAAACACAUCUGGUGAAAAUGUUUCUCUUUUUGAAAUUAUUGCGCAAAUUUCAAAUCUCAUUUAUUAUUUCAACAUUUGAGCUGAAUAUUAUAUUAUCUGAAUUUAUGAGUUUGGUGGAUGUUUUAAACUAUUAUAUAUUUUGAAGAAUUUGUUUGUGCAAAACAAAGUCAUACUUCCCGGUGACCUACAGAUACCAAAUUUUGCAUGCACAAUCCUGCCACUCAAAUUAGCAGGAUACAUUACUUUUAUAAGGGAAUAUGCUGGGGGAAAGGUUUAAUUUUUUAAAAAAGAAAAUUUUGACCCAUGUUAUUCAAGGGGGUUUCAUUCCUGCCAUUUUCUACGGAUAACGAAACCACAAAUAAAGAGACCUUAAUGUUU